ACUUUGUGUCAGAGACCGACACACGCGGGGAGGAGCGCCAAAGGCUGGGAGCAGGGCCUGCUGGGAACCGUAACCCUUCACCUCUCACCCUCCCGCCGCCAUAUUGGGUGGCGGUUACCACGGAGACCGACAGCUCGGCGGCGAAAGGCCGUAAGCGAACCUUCAGAGUUGUGCAGCUGAGCCCCGUGGAGUAAUGGCCAAGGAUCUUUUACAGCAGAUGUCUACUUGGGAAACACUUCAGUCGCUGCUGAGAAGAACUGAUAUAUUACCACUUCUUUAGAAAGCAGGCUUGGCCCAAGCUUUGCCCUGACACCAUUACAUUUGUGACAGAUAGGCAAUCCCAUGUAUUCCUCAUUAUCUGCAAUGUUUCCCCCUCAAAGCUGCACUUCCCUUCUAGCUUUACAUCAAAUGAUUUUUUUUUUGCCUGUGAUAUUUUGCGGUUUAGUACAACUUGACUAUUGCUGACUGAUGUCCUUUAACCUUUCAAGAGCUACUAUUGGGUUAGAAGAGAAAGGAUGUCCUCUGACAGUUUGGAAAAUAUCCUCAGGCAUCGACUGCUCAGAGUGUAAUAACUGUCAUACAGCACACACGUGCCAACCACUGGCACUCAGAGGGGCUGCUGCUCCCUUGAGCUAGUGCUAUAAUUACAUGGAACUACAUUGUUGAAGGAAUAAACAAAUGAUUCAA